rnacentral:rRNA from 1 species
AGAGUUUGAUCCUGGCUCAGAACGAACGCUGGCGGCAUGCCUAACACAUGCAAGUCGAACGAAGGCUUCGGCCUUAGUGGCGCACGGGUGCGUAACGCGUGGGAAUCUGCCCUUGGGUACGGAAUAACUCCUCGAAAGGGGUGCUAAUACCGUAUGAUGUCGCAAGACCAAAGAUUUAUCGCCCAGGGAUGAGCCCGCGUAGGAUUAGCUAGUUGGUGGGGUAAAGGCUCACCAAGGCGACGAUCCUUAGCUGGUCUGAGAGGAUGAUCAGCCACACUGGGACUGAGACACGGCCCAGACUCCUACGGGAGGCAGCAGUGGGGAAUAUUGGACAAUGGGCGAAAGCCUGAUCCAGCAAUGCCGCGUGAGUGAUGAAGGCCUUAGGGUUGUAAUGCUCUUUUACCCGGGAAGAUAAUGACUGUACCGGGAGAAUAAGCCCCGGCUAACUCCGUGCCAGCAGCCGCGGUAAUACGGAGGGGGCUAGCGUUGUUCGGAAUUACUGGGCGUAAAGAGUUCGUAGGCGGUUUGUUAAGUCUGAUGUUAAAGACCGGGGCUCAACCUCGGAAAUGCAUUGGAUACUGGCAGACUGGAGUGCAGUAGAGGCUAGUGGAAUUCCCAGUGUAGCGGUGAAAUGCGUAGAUAUUGGGAAGAACACCGGUGGCGUAGGCGACUAGCUGGGCUGUAACUGACGCUGAGGAACGAAAGCCAGGGGAGCAAAUGGGAUUAGAUACCCCGGUAGUCC